AUGCCAUGGUAUGGGCAUUCCCUUUAUAGGCCUUUGUAACUUUCCCAUCCAUCAUAGAGUGAUUCUCCUUGCCUUUGCCUGAAAGUAUUCAUCUCUAUUCUCAAUUU